rnacentral:rRNA from 1 species
UACGUAGAGGGCUAGCGUUGUCCGGAAUCAUUGGGCGUAAAGCGCGUGUAGGCGGUCCGGUAAGUCCGCUGUGAAAGUCGGGGGCUCAACCCUCGGAUGCCGGUGGAUACUGUCGGGCUUGAGUACGGAAGAGGCGAGUGGAAUUCCUGGUGUAGCGGUGAAAUGCGCAGAUAUCAGGAGGAACACCAAUUGCGAAGGCAGCUCGCUGGGACGUUACUGACGCUGAGACGCGAAAGCGUGGGGAGCAAACAGG